AGUUUGAUCCUGGCUCACGAUGAACGCUAGCGGCAGGCUUAACACAUGCAAGUCGAGGGGCAGCACUUGUAGCAAUACAUGGUGGCGACCGGCGCAAGGGUGCGUAACGCGUGAGCAACAUGCCCGUAUCAGGGGGAUAAUCCAGGGAAACUUGGUCUAAUACCCCAUAGCAAUUAAAGGAGGCAUCUUUUUUAAUUUAAAGCUUUGGUGGAUACGGAUUGGCUCGCGUGACAUUAGCUAGAUGGUAAGGUAACGGCUUACCAUGGCUACGAUGUCUAGGGGUUCUGAGAGGAAGAUCCCCCACACUGGAACUGAGACACGGUCCAGACUCCUACGGGAGGCAGCAGUGAGGAAUAUUGGACAAUGGAUGGAAAUCUGAUCCAGCCAUGCCGCGUGCAGGAAGACGGCCCUAUGGGUUGUAAACUGCUUUUGUAUGGGAGCAAUAAGGUCUAUGCGUAGACUGAUGAGAGUACCAUACGAAUAAGCAUCGGCUAACUCCGUGCCAGCAGCCGCGGUAAUACGGGGGAUGCAAGCGUUAUCCGGAUUUAUUGGGUUUAAAGGGUGCGUAGGCGGUUUGAUAAGUCAGCGGUGAAAUAUUUCAGCUUAACUGAAAGGGUGCCGUUGAUACUGUCAGGCUUGAAUAUGGUUGCUGUGGGUGGAAUGUGUGGUGUAGCGGUGAAAUGCUUAGAUAUCACACAGAAUAUCGAUUGCGAAGGCAGCUCACAAAGCCAUUAUUGACGCUGAUGCACGAAAGUGUGGGGAUCAAACAGGAUUAGAUACCCUGGUAGUCC
rnacentral:rRNA from 1 species